rnacentral:rRNA from 1 species
CCUACGGGUGGCAGCAGUGAGGAAUAUUGGUCAAUGGCCGAGAGGCUGAACCAGCCAAGUAGCGUGCAGGAUGACGGCCCUACGGGUUGUAAACUGCUUUUAUACGGGAAUAACGCGCCUUACGUGUAGGGCUUUGCAUGUACCGUAUGAAUAAGGACCGGCUAAUUCCGUGCCAGCAGCCGCGGUAAUACGGAAGGUCCGGGCGUUAUCCGGAUUUAUUGGGUUUAAAGGGAGCGUAGGCCGCAUGUCAAGCGUGCUGUGAAAUGUCCGGGCUCAACCCGGGCCUUGCAGCGCGAACUGGCGUGCUUGAGUCCGCGGAAAGCAGGCGGAAUUCGUCGUGUAGCGGUGAAAUGCUGAGAUAUGACGAAGAACCCCGAUUGCGAAGGCAGCUUGCUGCAGCGGAACUGACGCUGAUGCUCGAAAGCGCGGGUAUCGAACAGGAUUAGAUACCCGGUAGUC